CAACAGACGUGGGAGUGUGGCUGGGGAGGAAGGGCUGAGCCUCUGGCUCUGGUUUCGAUAUUGGUUUCUCAAGGCCUGCGAGCCGAACGGUGGACCACUGAGCUGUAAGAACUCCUUUAUCAGACACGCUUCCCGCUUCCUGCCCGCCUCAGCCUUCCUCACUGGUCUGUCCGGACUCGUUUGUUUUUCGAGUUUCCCGCGGGCACUAUCCCUUGAAGACGACCAACCACAGCCGAGUUUUGUCGGCCUGGCCAACCAGAGCCAGAGGCGAGGGGGAGAGAGCCAGGCCAGGCUGCGGGGAGAGGGUCGGGUUCUCCCGGCUCGAAGCGGAGGAAACGCGGUGAGGUGCGGAGGUGCACAGGCUCCUCCCAGCUCGUGUGGGUACUGUGGGGCAAUGGGCUGACCCUUUUGCAGGCCUCUCCAGGUGUCCGGGCCCAGCCUCGGCCACCAUGUCCCACCAGAUCCCUCUGAGUUCCUCAGUGCCGCAAGUCAACUGCCUGGACCUGUGGAGGGCAGAGAAUGACCGGCUAGUUCGACAGGCCAAGGUGGCUCAGGACUCGGAUCUGUCUCUGAGGCGACAGCAGUUGGCUCAAGAUUCGCUGGAAGGGUUCAGGGGACUCCUCCAUAGUCUGCUGGGGCUCCCUGCAGCGGUUCUUGUUCUCCCCUUGGAAUUGACUGUUAUCUGCAACUUUACUACUUUGAGGGUGAGCCUGGCCCAGGGUUUCACUGAGGACCAGGCACAGGAUAUCCAACAUGGCCUAGAGAGAGUGCUGGAAACCCAGAAGCAGCUGGGGCCCAGGCUGGAAGGUGGACUCAUGGAGCUGUGGAAUUCCGUCCUUCACGUGUCCUCCCUUCCGCCGGAGCUGCUCCCUGCCCUUCAUCACCUGGCUGGCCUGCAGGCUGCCCUCUGGCUAAGCACUGAUCGUCUUGGGGACCUGACCUUGCUGCUGCAGACUCUGAACGGUAGCCAGAGUGAGGCCUCUGGGGAUCUGCUGCUCCUUCUAAAAACUUGGAACCCCCCCGCUAAGGCAUCAGAUGAUCCACUGACCCUGCAGGAUGCCCAGAGAUUGAGGGAUGUCCUUCUGACAGCAUCUGCCUUUCGCCAAGGCCUCCAGGAGCUGACCACAGGGAGUCUGCCCAGGGCACUGAGCAGCCUGUAUGAAGCGGCCUCAGGUCUGUGCCCACGGCCUGUGUUGGUCCAGGUGUACACAGCACUGGGGACCUGUCUCCGAAAGAUGGGCAGUCCACAGAGAGCUCUGCUAUACUUGGUUGCAGCCCUGAAAGGGGAGUCGAUCUGUGGUCCCCCACUUCUGGAGGCCUCAAGGCUAUAUCGGCAACUGGGGAACACAGCAGCAGAGCUGGAGAGUCUGGAACUUCUGGUUGAGGCCUUGAAUGUCAUUCCCAGCUCUGAAGUCCCCCAUUUUCUUAUUGAGGUAGAGUUGCUACUCCCACGACCUGACCCAGCCUCACCCCUUCACUGUGGUACACUGAGCCAGGUCAAAUACCUGCUAGCAAGCCGAUGUCUACAGAUGGGAAGGGCAGAAGACGCUGUAGAGCAUUACUUGGACCUGCUGGCCCUGUUGCUGGAUGGCUCGGAGCCAAAGUUCUCCCCACCCACCUGCCCCCCAGGGCCCUGUAUGCCUGAGGUGUUCUUGGAGGCGGCAGCAGCACUGAUCCAGGCAGGCCGAGCUCAGGAUGCUUUGACAGUAUGUGAGGAGCUGCUGAGCCGCACAUCAUCUCUGCUUCCCAAGAUGCCCCAACCAUGGAAAGAUGCAAGAAAAGGGACCAAGGAGUCACCACAGUGCCCAUCCUGGGUCUCUGCCACCUACCUGCUUCAGGGCCAAGCCUGGGUGCAACUAGGAGACCAAAAACAGGCAAUUAGUGAAUUUAGCCGGUGCCUCGAGCUGCUCUUCCGGGCCACACCUAAGGACAAAGAACAAGGGCCUGCUUCCAACUGUGAGCAGGGGUAUACGUCAGAUGUGGAACUACAACAGCUUCGGGCAGCUGCCUUGAUUAGUCGUGGACUAGAAUGGGGGGCCAGUGGCCAGGAUACCAAAGCGCUACAGGACUUCCUCCUCAGUGUGCAGGUGUACCCAGACUCUGAAGAGGCUGGAUCGGAGGGAUGAGGCUACUGCUCUUUGGCAGAGGCUAGAAGCCCAAACUAAGCUACCACAGGAGAAUGCUACAUGGUCUCUCCCCUUGUACCUUGAAACCUGUUUGAGCUGGAUUCGUCCUCCUGACCGUGAAGCCCUUCUUGAAGAGUUUGGUACAUCUCUGCAGGAGCCUUGUGACCUGUAGCUGCCAAGUUUUGACGAGUCUGAGCUUGGGCCCCCAGUGGGCCAUCUUUCUAUGGGGAGGGCUUUCGAGAAGUUGGUGGUAUGCCUGCAAAAUUUUUUGGCCUAGUUACUGUCAUCUGGUUCCAGAGGACCCCCCUUCCCCCCCACACAACCAACAAGGCAUUGACUUUGCUCAUGGCACCUUUUUUUCCUGUUUCCCCUUUUCUUGUAUUGAGUAAAAUCUCAUAUCUAUCUCUU